AUUGAACGCUGGCGGUAUGCUUAACACAUGCAAGUCGAACGAUGAGAAAGAGCUUGCUCUUUCGAUUAGUGGCGGACGGGUGCGUAACGCGUAGGAAUCUACCCAUUAGUGGGGGACAACUUAGGGAAACUUAAGCUAAUACCGCAUACGCCCUACGGGGGAAAGAAGGGGAUCGCAAGACCUUUUGCUAAUAGAUGAGCCUGCGUAGGAUUAGCUAGUUGGUGGGGUAAAAGCUCACCAAGGCGACGAUCCUUAACUGGUUUGAGAGAAUGAGCAGUCACACUGGAACUAAGACACGGUCCAGACUCCUACGGGAGGCAGCAGUGGGGAAUAUUGGACAAUGGGCGAAAGCCUGAUCCAGCAAUACCGCGUGUGUGAAGAAGGCCUUAGGGUUGUAAAGCACUUUCAAUUGGAAGGAAAACCUCGAAGCUAAUACCUUCGAGUUUGACAUUACCUUUAGAAGAAGCACCGGCUAACUCCGCGCCAGCCGCCGCAGUAAAAC
rnacentral:rRNA from 1 species